GAGGAGGGGAACUUAUACCUGGCUAUCAUAAAAAAUGGUUUCCAAGGGCAACGCUGUUUACAUGAGUCUCUUCAUCCUAUUGCUGUUGUUCUCAUCCAAAGCCGUGUUUGCCAGAGUUUCCCAAUUUUCAGAAACCACAGAGAAGAUCGAUACGGCGUUUUCGAAGAUGAAGAUUAUUGACCGUAUUGAAGUGACAAAAGGCCACCAAUAUGUAGGAGUGCCAGGCGAAAAAGGGACCUUUUCGGUUCCCCCCCCACCCACUAACGGGAAGUGAUUUCGGGGCAAAAUGGGAAUAGGGUACGGGAAUCCCCGUCGGAUAUGGGUAGGGGAUGGUAUUGGCAUCCCCGUUCCAGAACCUGGCCCGAUAAUUAUAUAUUUAUUUUCAAAUUAAUAAA